AAACUUUUUACUUUAUAUACUUCUCUCAACCCCCUUCUCCUUCCACCGCACCAUCAACACCAAAACAAACGACCCCGAUCUCAACCUCUCUCAAAAUACGCUCAACCAUGUCAACCACGAAGGAAGAGAACAAACCUGAGGUGGCCGGCGAGCAUCCUAGCGGAGAAAAACUGCCGGAAGAGAAGGUGGUGAAGACGGUCGAUAACAGGUCACCGGCGGCUGCGGGGGAUGACCAGAUCACCGAGAAAAGGCCGGUUGAAAUUGUUCAUGAGAUUCAUGGAGGAUUGAAGGAUAAGCACGAUGCUCCGAAGCAAGAUUAAUUGAUGAUUAUGUGGAUGCUUGUUUAUUUCUCGAUUUGUUCUUAUCGUAUAAUUUGAUUCUGGUUUGUAACUUCUUAAUUGGGCUGCUUAUUUAUGCCUUUAUGCUUUCAAAAUAA